GGACGUCAGAGAGGGAGGUGUCUGCGGGACGCUGCUCUCUCCAAGGGCCCUAGGGCAGACCGUCCCCGGCCUCUGUCCUAGCUGCUGUUGACCCCUGCUGUCCUGGGUUCACAGAUGCGCCGCCCCAGCCUCUGCCUGUCUCCUGCAGUGUCUCUUCGUCUGUGUCUCUUUUCUUCCAGGGCACCCAUUGUUGCAUUUGGGGUCUAGCCUUGUGCAGACUGGCCGCGUCGGACCUUGAUUUCCAAAUCUGGGCAGGCUCCUACAUGCUCAGGAGCUCUGCACGGCUUUUAACCCCUGCCGGUACGGCGUGGACCCGGCCCAGCUCCUGCAGCUCCCCCGGGCUCCCCCCGCCACCAGGUCGCCAGAUGCUUUGCUCUCCCGCACCCGGAGGGCAGCUGGCCUGUCCAGCCUGGGGAGCGACUGAGCUGGUCCUUGCUGCCGCCCGCGUCCCUUCCAGGGGCCGGUGCAGUGCCCGCUCCACGGACAGGCACGGCUUCUUGCUCCUGCCUGUAAAGAUAAACAGAGACACAGUAACAGCUUCAAGAGCUGACCUGUUUGACCGACAAUCAAUCUGACUGAGGCUGUGCCAAGCAGAGCGGUUCGGUAGGGCUCCCGGACAGAAGCUGCGGAAAGACGUCCAGGGCCGGACAGACCAGGGAAUCGACAAGGAAGUCAUGGGAUUGGCUGCCUCUCAGGGCCACGUGGGCUGCUUGUGACCGGUCGUCCUUGGAGCCUCGGCUGCGCAACCUUGAGGUGCUUGCAGACUCGGGUUUCGGUUUGCAGAGACCGGCCACGGCGGCCUUGGAGCCGCCUCAGUGUGAUGGCCUCCUCGUUCAUUUAACACCUGCUCUGGGGACACCCCAGGUCCCCAAGGUGACCCUGCCCCCUUCUGCCAUGUUAGGACCGAGCGAUUCCUCUAGGGCAAGCCGCUGCCAGGCCGACCUUACAGGCCGUGACCUUGAUAAUCUCCCAGAGUGAGGCUCACAGGGCCCUGAGGUCCAAAGACCCUGAGGUCACAGGGAGCCACGGAGCCCCAAGGUGUCAGGGUCCUGGGCUCCGAAGGGCCUGCCCCCCAUAGCCCUGUGUCAGGCUGCCGUCCAGAAGGUCUUAUAAAUACCUGAAUGCUCGUGUUGUCCCGGGCCCCCAGAAGUAUGGGGCUGUGCUGGUCCCUCUAAAGGGAUCUGAGAGCUUCCCUCUGUCAGACCGGGUCAGGGCGGGGAGGUGACCUCUGCACCUGCAGGAGGAGGCGGGAGACUGGAGACCUGGGUGAAAACCUUCACACAAGACAGACCCCAGACCCUGGGCUGCUGUUCUGGGCUUACCGGAGCGGGGCGGGCAGGAAAGAAGGGGCAGGAAUCCCAUCUGAGGAGGCCUGGCUGGGGGUGGGGGCUCCUGGGCACAGGGAGGGGCGUCCCCACUGAAGACAGGGAGGAUGGGCAUGGGAAGGGCCAGCAGGGAACGGAGGGGAGGACACAGGAGAGCCUGCCUCCCAGAGCGAGCCCAGGGGAGCACAGCGCGGGGGAAGGACAGUGACCGCGGAGCUCGCCUCUCCUCUCUGCUCCUGUGGGGGCGCUGAGCCCGGAAGGCAGAGGGGGAGAGACCCCCGCCAGCCCUGCUUGGCCCCACUGCGGAAGGAGGGCACGUGCUGCAGGUGGAGACGGGCGCAGGACGGAGACCGGCGUGGAGAUAGCUGCUACCCAGACGGGGGGCGGGGGUGCUGGUAAACACCUGCGGUCCCACAGCAGAGGGGGUGUGGGUCCGCCGAGGAGCCCGUGGAGGCUGAGCGGGCAAGCUCCCUGCCCGUGAACCUGGGGCUCUCCUGCAGGGCCCGGUGGGGGUGGGGGUGAGGGGAGGUGCAGGGUUUUGCCCGGUGGGAGGGAAGGGGUGAGGGGCCGCGGGGCCAGGAACCAGAGGGCUGCAGGCGAGCGGGCUGUCGGAGCAUCCCGCCCGGAGCUCUCUGGCCGGCAUCCGCGGCCAGGGCCAGGCAGGUUUGGCUCAUCCCAGAGCAGGAGCGCGUCCGGACGGAGCAGAGUCUCCUGACGCUGCAGCAGGAGACAGGCCAGGGCGAGGCUCCGUGGGUGCCACCAUGAUGGAACCCCCCUUCCCCCCACGCCGUUGCCCUGCGGUCUUGCCUCAUUCGUUCCGACAUUCCGACCGCUCCGUCGAACGCAGGCCUCGGGGUGGGGGUCCCAGUGCUCUGCAGGGGGGCUUUCCUGAGGGUCAGGGGCUCGCUGCGUGUCCGUCAGGGACUGGGUGGGCCCCCGACGAUGCGCCGUGUCCGUGACGACUGACGUUCAUUUUCUGGGGCUGCUGGAAUGAAGGGCCACCCGUGGGGGCCUCCACGGCGGAAACGUGUCCCCUUGCGGUCUGGAGGCCCGAGUGGGAAAGCAGGGUGUCUGCCGGGCCGUGCUCGCCUGUGGCUGGGGGGAGGUUGCUCCUGCCUGGCCCCAUCCUUCUGCCUGUGGCGCCUCGCCCCAGCGUUGGGGGGUCACAUGGCCUCCUCGUGCAUCUGUGCGUCUCUAGCUCCUGGUAAGGACGCCGGUCGUGGGCUCAGAGCCCACCUGGAUUCAGGGGGACCUCACCUGAAUUUGAGAGCACCCACCUAACCCUAUUUCCAAAUGCUGCCACCAGCUUGACCUCAGCUUGGCCACGCCCCUUCCCUACCCCUGUCCCUUUCUCUCCCGCCCCCUCCCUGCCAGAGCCUGGAAGGAGACAGGUGACAGGGUCAGAAUUCCACGGAUGGUGCAACCCGGUGCUUGAAUCCGGGGUGGUCACCACGCUCGUUCUGCUGGGUCCUUAAAGGGGGAUGCAGCUCUGACUGUGCACAGAGACUGUCCCUGCAGGGGAUUCAGGAGACUCAGGAGAGCCCUCACGGCGAAAUUCAAGGCGAAAUGCAACCCGGCAAUUCACCCGGCUGGUCCCACCACCACCCCAGGAAUCCUGGCCACCCUGUUCUUCUGAUGGUCCUCCUGCCCCGGCUCCUCCACAGUGUGCCCAAGGGGACAGUCCAUCCGUCCCCGAGUGAGCACCCCUGUCCCCUCCCCAGCUCCAGGGCCCCUGCUGCGGACCCCACUCACCCGCCCUUCCUUUAGCCACUGUUGUCGCCACACAGUGGCUGGAUGUACUUUUAUGGUCUGUUCUCAAUACAAAUGAAUACAAGCUCGCACCAGAUUUUUUUUUUUUAAUUCCAAGGAAAAAACAAAAGCUUAAAACCGUCUGUGA